AUCAAUCUGUUCAUUUUCUUGUCUAGGGCAGAUUAAGGUGGUGACUUUGUAUUUAAAAGUACCCCUUACUCAUAUACAAUUUUGGGUUAUGAAAAAGCAGUUACUUUUCUUACAAAUGAAUGUAGUUCUUUUUUAGAGGAAGUAUUUGCAGAGAUCACCUUAAGCUGUUGUAAAUUCUUGCUGCCCCAUUUUUGUGAAUGGGAAUAUGUCUAUUGUAACAGCUAAGGAUUUGCUCAUAAUGCAUGAACCCAUUGUUGGAUAGUGGCCAGGUCAACAGGGGAGCAAAGAAUUCAAAGGCAUCGCUGUAGCCAGCAAGAUCUAAACCUCAAUCAUGUCAUUGAUCCACCCUCAAAUGCCCUUUCCUGCGAGUUCCUCAAGGAGAGAACCUUAUUGUUUCCACUGUAACUUCAGCUCUGUUCAGCUCUACCUGGGUGAGAGCAGCAGUACAGAUUCUUGCUUUGCAAAACUACACCUGCACACGUAAACACAGAUAUAGAUGCAGACAAUACAGACACAGAGAUACAUGGUAUGCAUGCAUGCUUAUGUGUAAUACCCCGAAAUAUCAUCUCCUGCUAUAUCUUAAUAUUAAAUGUGGUCAAUCUGUCUGUAUUUAUUUUUACCUGUACAACACUGUAAACAUCUGCAUGAAUAUGAAGACCAUCAUAUUAUUUUUCCUCCUCAUUGUUUUCAGGAAAGUAUUUUUAAA
ensembl:lncRNA